UGUUAUGAAGAUAAAAACACAGUUCGGUUGGUAGUCCGAACCUAUCCAUUAUGCAUUGUGUAGAUAGCAGUAACCUGCCCUCCUGGGGUUGUCCCUUCUUCAUGGUUAGUUA
rnacentral:ncRNA from 1 species